rnacentral:rRNA from 1 species
GNAUGCUUAACACAUGCAAGUCGAACGGUGUCUUCGGACAUAUUUUUUUGACGGGUGAGUAACGCGUGAGAAUCUAGCUUCAGGUCUGGGACAACCACUGGAAACGGUGGCUAAUACCGGAUGUGCCGGAAGGUGAAAGGCUUGCUGCCUGAAGAUGAGCUCGCGUCCGAUUAGCUAGUAGGUGGGGUAAGAGCCUACCUAGGCGACGAUCGGUAGCUGGUCUGAGAGGAUGACCAGCCACACUGGGACUGAGACACGGCCCAGACUCCUACGGGAGGCAGCAGUGGGGAAUUUUCCGCAAUGGGCGAAAGCCUGUCGGAGCAAAUACCGCGUGAGGGAGGAAGGCUCUUGGGUCGUAAACCUCUUUUCUCAGGGAAGAACACAAUGUCGGUACUUGAGGAAUCAGCAUCGGCUAAUCUCCGUGCCAGCAGCCGCGGUAAUACGGAGGAUGCAAGCGUUAUCCGGAAUGAUUGGGCGUAAAGCGUCCGCAGGUGGCUGUGUAAGUCUGCUGUCAAAGAGCAAAGCUCAACUUUGUAAAGGCAGUGGAAACUACACGGCUAGAGUGCGUUCGGGGCAGAGGGAAUUCCUGGUGUAGCGGUGAAAUGCGUAGAGAUCAGGAAGAACACCGGUGGCGAAGGCGCUCUGCUAGGCCGCAACUGACACUGAGGGACGAAAGCUAGGGGAGCGAAUAAAGAUUAGAUACCCCAGUAGUCCUAGCUGUAAACGAU